UACGUAGGGGGCAAGCGUUGUCCGGAUUUAUUGGGCGUAAAGAGCGUGUAGGCGGCCAAGCAGGUCCGCUGUGAAAACUCGAGGCUCAACUUCGAGACGUCGGUGGAAACCGUUUGGCUAGAGUCCGGAAGAGGAGAGUGGAAUUCCCGGUGUAGCGGUGAAAUGCGCAGAUAUCGGGAAGAACACCCGUGGCGAAGGCGGCUCUCUGGGACGGUACUGACGCUGAGACGCGAAAGCGUGGGGAGCGAACAGG
rnacentral:rRNA from 1 species